AGUUGAAGAGGGGGAGGCCUCGGACUUCUCGCUGGCCUGGGAUUCCUCCGUGACAGCAGCAGGCCUCCCCUGACAGAGCUGGCGCUUAUGAAAGUAAUGCACCUCCAGGUGUCUGGGCACAAGAGACUCGGCUUGCUGGAUCUCAGCCCCUUUGAUGAGCGGGUUUUAAAUAUGAAUUUGUUCAUUCAUUCAUUCCCUCAUUAAACCUUAUUUGAACACUG